CGGGCAUAUCACAUUGAAACACCGAUUCCCGUAGGAUCAUCGAAGGUAAGCAACAUCGAGCCUAGUCAAUACCGAGAUGGGUGGCCUCUUGUGUAUAUCAAGUGCUGUAA